GAUGAACGCUAGCGGCAGGCCUAAUACAUGCAAGACGAACGGUAAGAUUUGUAGCAAUACGAAUCCAAGAGUGUCGUAAGGGUGCGUAACACGUAUGCAAUCUGCCCUGUACAGGAGGAUAGCUCCCCGAAAGGGGAAUUAACCCUCCAUAGGAUCGUAGGGUGGCAUCACUUAGCGAUUAAAACUGAGGUGGUACAGGAUGAGCAUGCGUCUGAUUAGCUAGUUGGCGGGGUAACGGCCCACCAAGGCG
rnacentral:rRNA from 1 species